AAGGGAGUAGCCGAUAACUGUUUGAUUAGAAUGCCACAGUACACUAGAUUAAGAAUGGACACCAGCCAAAACACAACCUAUCAGACUGACACCGCAAUGGUGACAUGUAAUCUACUGAUAAACACUAGGGGAGUGCACAGCUAAUGCUUUGGAGUGCCAGAUAUAAAACUACAUGUGACCUCCUUUCACAUACGGCGAUGAUCCGAGAUAGGAGCCUCAGCGCUGAUCUCUGUAAUCAUUCCUCUGCUUAAUUUAGAAUAAAAGAGCAGAAAGUUAGAAGCUGUUUGAGAAUCGUCCUUUAAGCCAGUGUUAGAUAGAGAGUGUGAUCACUUCUGGGGACCAAGGACCGGAGGAACUCCGAGAGGUCUGACCGGCAGCAGGGUGCAGUAGUUCGGACAGAAAGCCGGGGACGAGAUGAUUUAAACGAAGCAGAAAGUAAUCAAAGGAAGCGAUACAUUUAGACAGCCUCGGGAGAUGGUAAAAUGAAAGAACCAGAUAAUAAGCUGCCUCGGUAGGACAAGCUAGGCCGGGCGUUAGCAAGGGCGAACGGCGGUGGGAAGAGCCGAGGAGCAGGCAGCUACGCUGGAGUGGGAAGAGGAAAUACUGAUGUGGCCGAGAUGGCGGCGAACUCACAGCAGGAUGAUCGAUUUGAGGGAUGAAGAUGGAAGGAGAAACUGCUGGAGAAACUAGCCCGGGUGACGCAGCGGCGGGAGCCGGUGAGGAGGCAAGGCCACCUCGGCCAGACUUAGCAGGAGAAGUGUAGGAGUUCUUGAUGCGCUUUCCGCUUGCCCAGAGCUGAGACAAGGAAGAAAUGGGCCAUGAAGCGAGGCAAGCGAUCCUAGGAGCGGUAGGGGAGGAAGGAGAGUCUGUUACGAACAGUGCGAGGAGGCGUCGGAGUCGUAGAUGAGCUCAGCUGACAAGCGAGGAUGAACACGGUAGAAGCUCCUUUACAAGCAAGGCAUCGGAAGGUGAUUGGAUGGAAAAUUAGAUGGACAGGAUGCUGAUUGGAAGGCCGGGAGACGCACCGAAGAGUCAUUGGAGGGUGGAGGCGGUGAAGAAACCCACAUUAUGACAGAAGGAACCAGCCUACGGGAGGAAUGGUGAGGGAAUUCAAGAGGGGAGUGGUUCUGGCCAAAUUAUUUUUUCACCUGGUGACCUCUCCCAACUCACCAUGGAGAAGGCUGGAAAUAGCUGGCAGCCUCCAAGACUGGCUCGAGGCGAGGAGGGAUUUUUUCUCUGAUCCGUGGAUUCACCACACCAUCGAGGCCGAGUGACAAAGGGCCCUAGAUGAAAUCGCCGCAUCUAUGAGGAGAUCUCCUGCUCCCUCCUCCACCCGCCUCUCCACUGAAGCUCAACACAGUUUUGGCUUUGCUCCUGAUCAGCCACCACCGCUGCUCCCGACUCAUAAUCCUGUUACUGGUCCAGUUCCGGGGGGGUUCUUGGAUGAACUGCCUCCACACCCCGAUCCUGUUUCUGGUCCUGUGAGGGGUUUGUGGAUGGACUGCCUCCAUCCCUGGUUCCCGUUCCAGAGGAGUUCGUGGAGGACCUGUCUCCACUUCCUGUUCCUGUCCCUGAGGGGUGCGAGGACGCACCCUCUGCUGUGUCUCAGUGGCUCCACUGCAGAUCUCCACGGCCUCGCCGAAGGUCCCAGCGGUCUCCGCACCACGCCUCUGAGCUCCACCGUGGGUUCUCCUGGUCCCGCCGUCCCGGCCGUCAGAUCAUCGGCUCCUACAUCACUGGCCUGCUCAGCUCCUACGUCGACGGCCUGCUGAUCGCCGGAUCUGCCGGGGACGGCCUCUGGGCCGGCCGCCUGAACUCUGGGUCAGCCGGGGACGGCCUCCGGGCCAGCCGCCUGAACUUUUGCCCUCCUUCCAAGGCCCCCUCCGCCCGCCCUGGUUGGAUGUUUGUUUUGUUUUUGUUUUGUGGGUGUCUGGGAUCCGCCCUUAAAGGGAGGGGCUAUGUCAUACCCGCUUGUGUUUUGAGUUCUUGAGUUUGUGUUUUUCUUAUUUUGCCUGGUCUAGUCCUUUGUUUUCUGUCCCCUGCACCCCAAGCCCGCACCUGUUCUGUUUUCCCCUAAUUGUCUGGUCACGUGUGUCAUUGGUUCCCCCUGCUGUCCAGUUUUGUAUUUAAGCCCGUUUGUUUCCUUUGUUCCCUGCUGGUUCCUUAUAUGUUGUUUGUGUUUGUGUGGUUGCCUGGUGCCCUGUCCGUGUCCAGCCAUGAGCAAUAAAGUGUCGUCUUACCUGCAAA